UCGUGCGUGCAAAAACACAAGGGCAGGGACCUGAAACAGGGUAUCUAUCGUCUUCAAAUCUGCUUCAUACUUAUUAGGUAUCCCUUAAAUUGUUGGUCUACUCGAUAGCCUAAACGUCGUUUUGCCAAAACAAAUCUGAAUUUAUCUGUACUGACUGUACAUACCUCAACUGGACGCGGCAUCGUGAUGGGACCUCGUAAAUGUGGCAGUCUGAUCUUGUGGUCGUUUAUAUCUGCAAACAUAUGUUGCAUCACAUAGUUGUAUGCUCGGUGAUACUAUAAUGCCAGUUUCCAUAAUUCACAAACAGAAAUCAGAAAGUAGAAAUCGCACUCACUUCGGACCAAGCUUCCUUUCAAAUUCUCCAGACAUUAUGCCAGCUGUACUAGCACGAAGAUUCUCGCAUGGUUCGGUCGCCCUACACAAAUCUUGACGAUAGUUCAACUCGGACGACAACUUCCGAAAAGCAACGCUAAAAAAUCUCAGGCUGACCGUGGUUUUGCAUAAGGUACUGUAUAUAGCUGGAAGCCGCGCAGUCUUCGAUGUGCGGUCGUAUGGAAUUUGGCUUCACCGGAACAGUCACACCACAGGGAAGCUCCCGCCGGCCGCAGCUAAUCACCUUUACUGUGAAAUUAUCCAAAUCCGCUAUGAUCGCGGAUGCUUCCGCGAUCAUAGCGAUGGCUCAUCCGUCAAGCAA